UACAGAGGGUGCGAGCGUUAAUCGGAAUUACUGGGCGUAAAGCGUGCGUAGACGGUAGCGUAAGUCAGAUGUGAAAGCCCCGGGCUCAACCUGGGAACUGCAUUUGAGACUGCUCUGCUCGGGUGCGGAAGAGGGAAGCGGAAUUUCCGGUGUGGCGGUGAAAUGCGUAGAUAUCGGAAGGAACACCAGUGGCGAAAGCGGCUUCCUGGUCCGACACCGACGUUCAGGCACGAAAGCGUGGGGAGCAAACAGG
rnacentral:rRNA from 1 species